UUUUUUUUUUUUAAGAAAGAAAUAAAGUUCCGUUGGUGAACAGCGGAGGGAUCCAUUAAAGUGACUUACCGUCAAACCACACGAACGUACCUCUGUCUUGUCUCGGCGGGCGCUGCGGCGCUGGGCCCUGUGCCCGGCCCGCGGCGUCGAGCCCGCCGGCGGCCUACAACUCUGCCUCUAGCGUUGCCUCUCCGAGUUAUACAAAUGAGUUAAAACUUUCAACAACGGAUCUCUUGGUUCUGGCAUCGAUGAAGAACGCGGCGAAAAUGCGAUAAGUAAUGUGAAAUUGCAGAAUUCAGUGAAUCAUCGAAUCUUUGAACGCACAUUUGCGCCCGCCGGUAUUCCGGCGGGCCAUGCCUGUUCGAGCGUCAUUUCAACCCUCAGGCCCCGCCUUGGUGUUGGGGCACCGCUUAUUGCGGGCCCCUAAAGUCAGCGGCGGGCACGGCCCGGACCCGAGCGUAGUAACACAACUCGCUAGGGGCUCCGGUCGUGCUCCGGCCGUAAAAAGACCACUACAGAAGGUUGACCUCGAAUCAGGUAGGAAUACCCCGCUGAACUUAAGCAUAUCAAUAAGCGGAGGAAAAGAAACCAACAGGGAUUGCCCUAGUAACGGCGAGUGAAGCGGCAACAGCUCAAAUUUGAAAUCUGGCCUAGCCCGAGUUGUAAUUUGUAGAGGAUGCUUCGGGCGCGGCGCCUUCCAAGUCCCCUGGAACGGGGCGCCAGAGAGGGUGAGAGCCCCGUACUGUCGGACGCCAAGCCUAUGUGAAGCUCCUUCGACGAGUCGAGUAGUUUGGGAAUGCUGCUCAAAAUGGGGAGGUAGACCCCUUCUAAAGCUAAAUACCGGCCAGAGACCGAUAGCGCACAAGUAGAGUGAUCGAAAAGAUGAAAAGUACUUUGAAAAGAAAGGUUAAAUAGCACGUGAAAUUGUUGAAAAGGGAAGCGCUUCGUGACCAGACUUGCGCCGGGGCGAUCAUCUGGCGUUUCUCGCUAGUGCACUCGCCCCGGCUCAGGCCAGCGUCGGUUCGCGUGGGGGGAUAAAGGCGUUGGGAACGUGGCUCCCCGGGAGUGUUAUAGCCCAGCGCGUCAUGCCCCCGCGUGGACCGAGGUUCGCGCUCGAAGGACGCGCCAUAAAGGGUUAUACGACCUUUAACCGAAAAA
rnacentral:rRNA from 1 species